rnacentral:rRNA from 1 species
GGACCCGCACAAGCGGUGGAACAUGUGGUUUAAUUCGAAGCAACGCGAAAACCUUACCAGGGCUUGACAUCUAACAAACCUUUGCGAAAGCAGAGGGUGCUCUUCGGAGAAUGUUAAGACAGGUGGUGCACGGUUGUCGUCAGCUCGUGUCGUGAGAUGUUGGGUUAAGUCCCGCAACGAGCGCAACCCCUGUUGUUAGUUGCUGUUAGUGGUUUACUGCUAAUGAGCUCUCUAGCAAGACUGCCGGUGACAAACCGGAGGAAGGUGGGGACGACGUCAAAUCAUCAUGCCCCUUAUGCUCUGGGCUACACACGUGUUACAAUGGCUAGGACAACGAGUCGCCAACUCGCGAGAGUGAGCAAAUCUCUUAAACCUAGUCUCAGUUCGGAUCGCACUCUGCAACUCGAGUGCGUGAAGUCGGAAUCGCUAGUAAACGCAGAUCAGCACGCUG